rnacentral:rRNA from 1 species
UGGCUCAGGAUGAACGCUAGGCUACAGGCUUAACACAUGCAAGUCGGAGGGGGCAGCGGGAUUGAAGCUUGCUCAAUUGCCGGCGACCGGCGCGACGGUGAGUAACGCGUAUCCAACCUUCCGUACACUCAGGGAUAGCCUUUCGAAAGAAAGAUUUAAUACCGGAUGGCAUAGUUUUCCCGCAUGGGAUGAUUAUUAAAGAAUUUCGGUGUCGAUGGGGAUGCGUUCCAUUAGGCAGUUGGCGGGGUAACGGCCCACCAAACCUACGAUGGAUAGGGGUUCUGAGAGGAAGGUCCCCCACAUUGGAACUGAGACACGGUCCAAACUCCUACGGGAGGCAGCAGUGAGGAAUAUUGGUCAAUGGACGAGAGUCUGAACCAGCCAAGUAGCGUGAAGGAUGACUGCCCUAUGGGUUGUAAACUUCUUUUAUACGGGAAUAAAGUGAGCCACGUGUGGCUUUUUGUAUGUACCGUAUGAAUAAGGAUCGGCUAACUCCGUG